rnacentral:lncRNA from 1 species
CUAAGGCUUUGUUUAAUUGAAAGUUUAGUUCUUCUGGAGGCCUAAGGUGCUUAAGUUGAGGACUGAAGGGUGGAGCAGAGCUUCGUUUGCAGCCCCAGCUGCCACCUGGGAUGAGGAGUGAGAAGUGGCAGCAGGAACUGCAGCACUCUGCUAGCUUCCCUCUGCUCUGCUCUGGAUUAAAGCAGCUGGAAUUGGAGAAUAACAAGCAGAAUGAGGCUAUUAAAGAUGACAGAAGAAGAGAAACAAAACAUAAGCAUUUGGUGAGGAAGGUGCAAUGAAAGAUCAGGUAAUGCCAUUAGAGCAGGUUAUCAGGUAACUGACACUACUAGAUGUAGAGAUUUCUCAUCUGUUAGUAGUGAAACAACUUGGUUGCUCAAAAGCUGAACUCCCUGUUUAGUACCCACGUGCAAAAAGAAUUUCUGUGUUGGUGAAGUGCCCAAGAAUAAUUCUUUGAUUUAGUUGAUAAGAGAACUGAUUCUGAUAUCACUUGUGGUGAUUUUACCUGUUUCUUUAAUUCAUUUGUUUAUUUUUAUUAUUUAUUUAAUUAAUUAUUGCUUACCUCUAG